rnacentral:rRNA from 1 species
AACGAACGCUGGCGGCAUGCCUAACACAUGCAAGUCGAACGAGACCUUCGGGUCUAGUGGCGCACGGGUGCGUAACGCGUGGGAACCUGCCCUUAGGUUCGGAAUAACUCCCCGAAAGGGGUGCUAAUACCGGAUAAUGUCUUCGGACCAAAGAUUUAUCGCCUUUGGAUGGGCCCGCGUUGGCUUAGCUAGUUGGUAGGGUAAAAGCCUACCAAGGCGACGAUCCAUAGCUGGUCUGAGAGGAUGAUCAGCCACACUGGGACUGAGACACGGCCCAGACUCCUACGGGAGGCAGCAGUGGGGAAUAUUGGACUAUGGGCGAAAGCCUGAUCCAGCAAUGCCGCGUGAGUGAUGAAGGCCUUAGGGUUGUAAAGCUCUUUUACCCGGGAUGAUAAUGACAGUACCGGGAGAAUAAGCUCCGGCUAACUCCGUG